UGCCGAUUGAUGUAAUGGUAGCAUAAUACACUUUGACUGUAUUAGUUAUGGUUCAAAUCCAUAAUCGGCAGCCA
rnacentral:tRNA from 1 species